rnacentral:tRNA from 1 species
GGAGAGGUGGCUGAGCGGUUGAAAGCGCACGAUUCGAAAUCGUGUUUGGGCUUAUCCCCAACGAGGGUUCGAAUCCCUCCCUCUCCGCCA